rnacentral:lncRNA from 1 species
AGCUGGUCACUCCUCUCUGGUGGGAGCAGGCUCUGUGCAGGCCUGUGGCAGCAUCCAAACCCCUGUCCUCUCGGCACUCAGGUUCUUGUUUGGUGUUCGGGAAGAAUCAGCAGGGGUGCCCACCUGACAUGGCAGAGGAUGGGUCCAUGGUUAAGCCACUGCGCUCUCACCUAGAAGUGAGCACAAUGCACAUUGGAGAAAAGAGAGGAGGAAGAAGGAGUUGGGCAGAGACUCUCACCCCUCUGCAAACCAAGGCUCUGAGGCUGGGACCUACUACUCCUUCUGCUAGGAGGUGAGGAUGUGCAAUGGAAGUGAAUUAAAAUGGAUUGGACAAGACUUUGAAAAAAAAAAAACCCUGUGUCAUCCAAGAGAUGGAAUCAGAAUAGGAUCCCUAAGGGACUAGACGUUUAUGAGAAAAAUAAAGCAAUUUCAUGUUUGUUUCACUUGUUCCGUAAAGUAGUUGGCCACACAUGUCUAGGAUGAAUUACACCAAACCAAUCUAGCUUUUAUUUUUUAAUUCAAGACUUCUACACUCACCAUAGAUGGAUAAUUUCUCUAUGCUGAUAAAGCCUGUUAUAUGUUUCUUGCCAUGGUGUCUUUUUAGAAUGCAUAGAGAAAGAGGGAUAUAGGAUCUGAGCUCAAAGAGGACCCCAAAGGAUGUGGGAAAAAUGAAACGCUCAUACACUGUUGGUGAGAAUGGAAGUUAGUACAACCUCUGUGGAAAAUUGGAGAGUUCUCAAAGAAGGAAAAAUAGAACUACCCUUGGAUCUGGCAAUCCUACUACUGGUUGUUAUAUACCUGAAGGAAAAUAAAUCAUUAUAUAAAAAAGACACCUGGACUGUCAGCUGUAGCAGUAUUCACAAUAGCGAAGUCCUGGAAUCAACCCAAGUGCCCAUCACCAGAUGAUUGGAUUAAAAAGUGGUACAUACAUACAUCAUGGAAUACAACUCAGCCAUAAAAAAGAAUGCAAUAUUGUCUUUUGCAGCAACAUGGAUAGAACUGGGGGCCAUUAUCCUUAGUGAAAUGGCCCAGAAACAGAAAAUCCAAAACUUCACUUUCUUACUUAUAUGUAGGUACCCCCAGACAUACAGAGGGAAAUAAUAGACACUGGAGACUCCAAAUGGUGGGCAGGUGGGAGGGGUGAGGGAUCACCUCUUGGGUUCAUUGUACACUAUUUGGGUAAUGAGCAUACUGAAAGCCCCGAUUUCACCACUGUGCAAUAUAUUCAUGUAAAA